CUUUAUCUUCAGGGACGGGUGAAAUUCCGUACCGGCGGUAUGGCCUAAAUAUAGCCGAGCCCGCGAACCCGUAAGGGUUGAUCCGGUGAAAAGCCGGGGCCGACAGUUAGAGUCUGGAUGGGAGAAGGUAGAG
rnacentral:ncRNA from 2 species